rnacentral:lncRNA from 10 species
CCAGGGCCUGGAAGGCUGGGGAGGGGGCGGGGGCGGCAGACGCCUCCUAACACAGUUCAGCGGCCUCUCACUGGUUAGCUGGACACCUGUCGUUGGAUUUAGGGCCCAACUGAAGAGUCCAGGAUGACACCAUCUUGAGAUCUUUAACUUAAUGACAAAACCUGAAGACCUUUUCAUCAGGUACAACUUGAGCUCUCAUCUACAUAACUGAAGGCUGCACCCAGGGCUGUAAAGAGUGAAAAUGCAUUGCCGAAGCAUGAGCACCUCCUGCAGUUCUCAGUAGACAUUUGGGAAGCGAGUGAACCGCCCUGUAUGGAGUGUUUGGAGGAGGUCGGAGGGUGUCGGGCCUGAGCCAGGGGCUGCCCUGGGCCUGUGUCGGGUGGCGCAUGCCAGAGGAAUGAGAUGGGAAGGGCAUGCACGCGGGGUCUUGGCAGCCCUGGAGCUGGCCUAGAUGCAGCAGCUUUCUGAUAAAGCGAAAUUGUUCCAUCGGCUUGCCAUGCUUUGCUUAGCCAUCCGCACUUCACUGUUGGGCGAAAGAAGAUUUUAAAGAACACCCUUAGCAGAUGUCAGAGUUUGGGAUUUGGGGUCCAUGAUACCCAAAUAAGAUUCCACUUGAAGAAAGUAACACGAAUUGCUUUCAACACAUCAAUCAACAAAGAGCAUUGAUGGAUGAAGAGGACAUUGAUAAAUGGGAUGUCUUUUUGCUGAAACUCUAACUUACAGUAAAGGGGGGAAACUCACAGAAGCCCAGUGGAAGCUUCUGGAGCCAGGAGCU